GACGAACGCUGGCGGCGUGCUUAACACAUGCAAGUCGAACGGAAAGGCCCUGCUUUUGUGGGGUGCUCGAGUGGCGAACGGGUGAGUAACACGUGAGUAACCUGCCCUUGACUUUGGGAUAACUUCAGGAAACUGGGGCUAAUACCGGAUAGGAGCUCCUGCUGCAUGGUGGGGGUUGGAAAGUUUCGGCGGUUGGGGAUGGACUCGCGGCUUAUCAGCUUGUUGGUGGGGUAGUGGCUUACCAAGGCUUUGACGGGUAGCCGGCCUGAGCGGGUGACCGGCCACAUUGGGACUGAGAUACGGCCCAGACUCCUACGGGAGGCAGCAGUGGGGAAUAUUGCACAAGGGGCGGAAGAACGAUGCAGCAACGCCGCGUGCGGGAUGACGGCCUUCGGGUUGUAAACCGCUUUCGCCUGUGACGAAGCGUGAGUGACGGUAAUGGGUAAAGAAGCACCGGCUAACUACGUG
rnacentral:rRNA from 1 species